GGCCGGUUAGCUCAGUUGGUUAGAGCGCCGUGCUAAUAACGCGAAGGUCGUUGGUUCGAUACUCCGUACUGGCCA